AACGAACGCUGGCGGCAUGCCUAACACAUGCAAGUCGAACGAGACCAUCGGGUCUAUUGUCGCACGGUGGCGUAACGCGUGGGAACCUUCCCUUAUGUUCGGCCUAACUCCCCGACUGGGGUGCUAAUACCGGAUAAUGUCUUCUGACCAAAGAUUUAUCGCCUUGGGAUGGGCCCGCGUUGGAUUAGCUCUUUGGGAGGGUAAAAGCCUACCAAGGCGACGAUCCAUAGCUGGUCUGGGAGCAUGAUCAGCCACACUGGGACUGAGACCCGGCCCAGACCCUUCCGGGAGGCCGCAGUGGGGACUAUUCGACAAUGGGCGAGAGACGGAUCCAGCAAGGCCGUGAGAGUGAUGAAGGCCUUAGGGUUGUAAGGCUCUUUUACCCGGGAUGAUAAUGCCAGAACCGGGCGAAUAAGCUCCGCCAACUUCCGU
rnacentral:rRNA from 1 species